CAGCGCCGGUUCCAAGAGCUGGGAUGCGGCUGUAGCGGAGUUGGUGUCCGAGUGGAAACCUAGUGAGGGUCGGGGGUUCCGCUUGGGGCGGUGGGAAACGCUCCGGAAGAGGAGGCAGCUCUGUGAUUCCGCUCCGAGCCAGCGGGAAAGGAGUUGGGAGGUGGCUUGAGCCGAGAACCGGGAGGGGAGAAGGUGCAUUUCUGAGCCGCCAGGGGCGCGGAUCGCAGACUGGGACCCUGACAAGCCAGGGGUCGCGGCUUUCCGGGACGGCUGGAGAAGUGCCCAGACUGCAGCCCCUCCGCGGCCGUGCGCGUCCGCGUGCGCCGCGUGCUGGAGUCCCGGAGCGAUGACAGCGUUGGUCACGUCCCAGAAAUCCUGGAUUGAAGGAGUAUUUGACAAGAGAGAAUGUAGCACAGUCAUACCCAGCUCAAAAAAUCCUCACAGAUGUACCCCAGUAUGCCAGGUCUGCCAGAAUUUAAUCAGGUGUUCCUGUGGCCGACUGAUUGGAGAUCAUGCUGGGAUAGAUUAUGCCUGGACCAUCUCAGCUGCUCAGGGUAAAGAAAGUGAACAAUGGUCUGUUGAAAAGCACACAACGAAAAGCCCGACAGAUACUUUUGGCACGAUUAAUUUCCAAGAUGGAGAGCACACCUACCAUGCCAAGUAUAUUCGAACUUCUUAUGAUACAAAAUUGGAUCAUCUGUUACAUUUAAUGUUGAAAGAGUGGAAAAUGGAACGGCCCAAGCUGGUGAUCUCGGUACAUGGGGGCAUCCAGAACUUUACGAUGCCCUCUAAACUUAAAGAGAUUUUCAGCCAAGGUUUGAUUAAAGCUGCAGAGACAACAGGAGCAUGGAUAAUAACUGAAGGCAUCAAUACAGGAGUGUCCAAGCAUGUUGGGGAUGCCUUGAAAUCCCAUUCCUCUCAUUCCUUGAGAAAAAUCUGGACAGUUGGAAUCCCUCCUUGGGGUGUCAUUGAGAACCAGAGAGACCUUAUUGGAAAAGAUGUGGUGUGCCUGUACCAGACUCUGGGUAACCCCCUCAGCAAGCUCACAACACUCAACAGCAUGCACUCACACUUCAUCCUGUCUGAUGAUGGGACCGUGGGCAAGUAUGGAAAUGAAAUGAAGCUCAGAAGGAACCUGGAGAAGUACCUCUCUCUGCAGAAAAUACACUGCUGCUCAAGACAAGGCGUGCCCGUGGUGGGGCUGGUGGUGGAAGGCGGUCCCAACGUCAUCCUGUCAGUGUGGGAGACUGUCAAGGACAAGGACCCGGUGGUGGUGUGUGAGGGCACAGGCAGGGCAGCCGACCUCCUGGCCUUCACACACAAACACCUGGCAGAUGAAGGGAUGCUGCGUCCUCAGGUAAAAGAAGAGAUCAUCUGCAUGGUUCAGAACACUUUCAACUUUAGUCUUAAGGAGUCCAAGCACCUUUUCCAAAUUCUAAUGGAGUGUAUGGUUCACAGGGAUUGUAUUACCAUAUUUGAUGCUGACUCUGAAGAGCAGCAAGACCUCGACUUAGCAGUCCUCACAGCUUUGCUGAAGGGCACAAAUUUAUCAUCAUCAGAGCAACUAAAUCUGGCGAUGGCUUGGGACAGAGUAGACAUUGCCAAGAAACAUAUCCUAAUUUAUGGACAACACUGGAAGCCUGGUGCCCUGGAACAAGCAAUGUUAGAUGCUUUAGUGAUGGAUAGAGUGGAUUUUGUGAAGCUCUUAAUAGAAUAUGGAGUGAACCUCCAUCGCUUUCUUACCAUCCCUCGACUGGAAGAGCUCUACAAUACAAAACAAGGACCUACUAAUACACUGUUGCAUCAUCUCGUCCAAGAUGUGAAACAGCAUACUCUUCUAUCCGGCUACCGAAUAACCUUGAUUGACAUUGGAUUGGUAGUAGAAUACCUCAUUGGUAGAGCAUAUCGCAGCAGCUACACUAGAAAACAUUUCAGAGCCCUCUACAACAACCUCUACAGAAAACAUAAGAGAGUGACCAGCUCUGUUCAAAACCCUUCCCAGCACCGGAGACGCUCCUCAGAAAACAGAAAUGAAUCUGCAGAAAGUACGUUGCACUCUCAGUUCAUUAGAACUGCACAGCCAUACAAAUUCAAGGAAAAGUCUGUAGUCCUUCAUAAAUCAAGGAAGAAGUCAAAAGAACAAAAUGUAUCAGAUGACCCUGAGUCUACUGACUUUAUUUACCCUUACAAUGACCUGCUGGUUUGGGCCGUGCUGAUGAAAAGGCAGAAGAUGGCCAUGUUCUUCUGGCAGCAUGGAGAGGAGGCCACGGUGAAAGCAGUGAUUGCGUGUAUUCUCUACCGGGCAAUGGCCCAUGAGGCUAAGGAGAGUCACAUGGUGGAUGAUGCCUCAGAAGAGUUGAAGAAUUACUCAAAGCAGUUUGGCCAGCUGGCUCUGGACCUGCUGGAGACAGCAUUCAAGCAGAAUGAGCGCAUGGCCAUGACACUGCUGACCUACGAACUCAGGAACUGGAGCCAUUCGACCUGCCUGAAACUGGCCGUGUCAGGAGGAUUACGACCCUUUGUUUCACAUACUUGUACCCAAAAGCUACUGACGGACAUGUGGAUGGGGCGCCUAAAAAUGAGGAAAAACUCUUGGUUUAAGAUCAUUAUAAGCAUUAUUUUACCCCCCACCAUUUUGACCUUGGAAUUUAAAAGCAAAGCUGAGAUGUCACAUGUUCCCCAGUCCCAGGACUUCCAAUUUAUGUGGUAUUACAGUGACCAGAAUGCCAGCAGUUCCAAAGAAAGUCCUUCUGUGAAAGAGUAUGAUUUGGAAAGAGGUCAUGAUGAGAAACUGGAUGAAAAUCAGCAUUUUGAUUUUGAAAGUGGGCCCCCAAACCUUCCAUGGACCAGGAAAGUCUAUGAGUUCUACAAUGCUCCAAUUGUCAAGUUUUGGUUUUACACGAUGGCGUAUUUGGCAUUCCUCAUGCUGUUCACUUACACCGUGUUGGUGGAGAUGCAACCCCAGCCCAGCGUGCAGGAGUGGCUUGUCAGCAUUUACAUCUUCACCAAUGCUAUUGAAAGGGUCAGGGAGAUCUGUAUUUCAGAACCUGGAAAGUUUACUCAAAAGGUGAGGGUAUGGAUUAGUGAGUACUGGAACUUAGUAGAAACUGUGGCCAUUGGCCUGUUUUCAGCUGGCUUCGUCCUUCGAUGGGGUGACCCUCCUUUUCACACAGCGGGAAGACUGAUCUACUGCAUAGACAUCAUAUUCUGGUUCUCACGACUCCUAGACUUUUUUGCUGUGAAUCAACAUACAGGUCCAUAUGUGACCAUGAUUGCAAAAAUGACAGCAAACAUGUUUUAUAUUGUGAUCAUAAUGGCCAUAGUCCUGCUGAGCUUUGGAGUGGCACGCAAGGCCAUCCUUUCACCAGAGGAGCCACCAUCUUGGAGCCUCGCUCGAGAUAUUAUAUUUCAGCCAUACUGGAUGAUAUAUGGAGAAGUCUAUGCUGACCACAUAGACGUUUGUUCAAGCAAGCCAUCCUGCCCUCCUGGUUCUUUUCUUACGCCAUUCUUGCAAGCUGUCUACCUCUUUGUGCAGUAUAUCAUCAUGGUGAACCUGUUGAUUGCUUUCUUCAACAAUGUUUACUUAGAUAUGAAAUCCAUUUCAAAUAACCUGUGGAAAUACAACCGCUAUCGCUACAUCAUGACCUACCACGAGAAGCCCUGGCUGCCCCCACCUCUCAUCCUGCUGAGCCACAUGGGCCUCCUCCUCCGCCGCCUGUGCUGUCGCCGAGCUCCUCACGACCAAGAAGAGGGUGACGUUGUAUUAAAACUCUACCUGAGUAAGGAGGAUCUGAAAAAACUUCAUGAUUUUGAGGAGCAGUGUGUGGAAAAAUACUUCCAUGAGAAGAUGGAAAAUGUGAAUUGUAGUUGUGAGGAGCGAAUCCGAGUGACAUCAGAAAGGGUUACAGAGAUGUACUUCCAACUGAAAGAAAUGAAUGAAAAGGUGACUUUUAUAAAGGACUCCUUACUGUCUUUGGACAGCCAGGUGGGACACCUGCAGGAUCUCUCUGCCCUGACUGUGGAUACCCUAAAAGUCCUUUCUGCUGUUGACACUUUGCAAGAGGAUGAGGCUCUCCUGGCCAAGAGAAAGCAUUCUACUUGCAGAAAACUUCCCCACAGCUGGAGCAAUGUCAUCUGUGCAGAGGUUCUAGGCAGCAUGGAGAUCGCUGGGGAGAAGAAAUUCCAGUAUUAUAGCAUGCCCCCUUCUUUGCUGCGGAGCCUGGCCAGAGGCUGGCAUCCCGGAGGAGUGCAGAGGGGGGCUCUUCUUGAGAUCACAGACAGUAAAAGAGACGCUUCAAAUGUAAGAAAUGACCAGGAAAAGCAAGAAACAGAAAGUAGUAUAGUUGCUUCCGUGGUGUCUCCUAACACACAAGCACACUCAAAGUAUGGCCAGUUUCUUCUGGUCCCUUCUAAUCUAAAGCAAGUUCCUUUUUCAGCAGAAACUGUCUUGCCUCUAUCCAGACCCUCUGUGGAAACAAGUACAGAUGUGCUGGCAAAUGAACAGGACGUCCAGACUGAGGUUAUUGUUCAUCUGACUGGGCAGACCCCAAUUGUCUCCAACCAGGCAUCAGUGGCUAAACCCAAGGAGCAGCAUGAGCCAACUGCUCACUUACUGGAUGGACAAGACAAGGUGGUAGCACUCAAUGUGCUAUCCGCUUUGAGUUGCACACCUGAACCCAUGGCAGUGACCUCCUCUCCUUCCCAAGCCAAGAUCAUGCAAACCGGAGGUGGAUAUGUAAACUGGGCAUUUUCAGAAGGUGAUGAAACUGGUGUGUUUAGCAUCAAGAAAAAAUGGCAAACUUGCUUGCCCUCCACUUGUGGCAGUGAUUUCGCUGGGAGUGAACAGCACCAGAAGCAGAGCCAGGGCAGCUCCCUGUCUGAUAACUCAACAAGAUCCGCCCAGAGUAGUGAGUGCUCAGAGGUGGGACUGCGGCUUCAGCCAAACACAUCCUUUUGGAUCAAUCCUCUCUGCAGAGACAGGCCCUUCAUUAGGAGUCAUAGCUUUAGAUUCCAUAAGGAGGAGAAAUUGAUGAAGAUCUGUAAGAUUAAAAAUCUUUCAAGCUCUUCAGAAAUAGGGCAGGCAGCAUGGGUCAAAGCAAAAAUGCUAACCAAAGACAGGAGAUUCUCAAAGAAAAAGAAGAAUACUCAAGGACUCCAGGUGCCAAUCAUAACAGUCAAUGCUUGCUCUCAGAAUGACCAACUGAAUCCAGAGCCAGGAGAAAACAGCAUCUCUGAAGAGAAAUACAGCCAGAACUGGCUCACAGUGUCCAAAUUAAGUCAGACAAGUGUAGAACCUUAUAUACAUCAGAAAAUGAAAAUUAAAGACAUUGGACAAUGUGCUGUACAAGUCAGUGAUCACCUAAAGCAGUCUCAAGAGGAUCUCAGCAAAAACUCUUUGUGGAAUUCCAGGAGCACCACCCUCAAUAGGAACUCCCUGCUGAAAAGUUCAAAUGGAGUUGACAAGAUCUCAGCCUCCUUAAAAAGCCCUCAAGAGCCUCACCAUUAUUCAGCCAUUGAAAGGAAUAAUUUAAUGAGGCUUUCUCAGACCAUACCAUUUACACCAAUCCAACUGUUUGCAGGAGAAGAAAUAACUGUCUACAGGUUGGAGGAGAGUUCCCCUUUAAACCUUGAUAUAAGCGUGUCCUCCUGGUCUCAGCGUGGGAGAGCUGCAAUGAUCCAGGUGUUGUCCCGAGAGGAGAUGGAUGGGGGCCUACGUAAAGCUAUGAGAGUCGUCAGCACUUGGUCUGAGGAUAACAUUCUGAAGCCGGGACAGGUUUUCAUUGUCAAGUCCUUUCUUCCUGAGGUUGUGCGGACAUGGUGUAAGAUCUUCCAGGAGAGCACUGUGCUUCAUCUUUGCCUCAGGGAAAUUCAGCAACAGAGAGCUGCUCAGAAAUUGAUCUAUACCUUCAACCAAGUGAAACCACAAACCAUUCCCUACACACCAAGGUUCCUGGAAGUUUUCUUAAUCUAUUGCCAUUCAGCCAACCAGUGGUUGACCAUUGAGAAGUAUAUGACAGGGGAGUUCCGGAAGUAUAACAACAACAACGGUGAUGAAAUCACCCCCACCAACACCCUGGAGGAGCUGAUGUUGGCUUUCUCUCACUGGACCUAUGAGUACACUCGGGGAGAGCUGCUGGUUUUAGAUUUGCAAGGUGUUGGAGAAAAUUUGACAGAUCCAUCUGUUAUAAAACCUGAAGUCAAACAAUCAAGAGGAAUGGUGUUUGGACCGGCCAAUUUGGGGGAAGAUGCAAUUAGAAACUUCAUUGCAAAACAUCAUUGCAACUCCUGCUGCCGGAAGCUCAAACUCCCGGAUUUAAAAAGAAAUGACUAUUCCCCUGAAGGGAUAAAUUCCACCUUUGGAUUUGAUAUAAAAAUAGAAUCAGCUGAGGAGCCUCCAGCAACUAUGAAAAGGGAGGAGCAAGAAGAUCCCAGUGCCCGCCCUACCUGCCAAGAACUCUGUGAUAACAAAGAUUGAUCGACGUGACAUUGAUUACAUCAGCGCCUCCUUGGGACACACCUUCUGAGCCUCACCUCUCCUCCUACCCAAAGGCCUCAUUGGUAUAUGAUCAGUGGGUUCUCCUAGAUACUGACCUCUGUCCAGGGCACUUGGCAGCUCCAUCCUCAAGUUCCACAUGAAGACACUUGGAUGAGCCAGCUGGGAAUAUUGUUCUUGUAUACCUCAUUGCUUUAGCUGACCACUUGGAACCUUGGAGCAGAAUGCUGCACAUUAAAAAAGGAUGGGGUGGUGGGGAUGAAUUUAGUUUAUUUUCUCACUUUGUGUGCAGACUGGACCCCCUACUGCUAUUUGUCACCUCACCCACAGACUGUCUUUAUGUCUAUAUAUAUGUACAUAAAAAGUUAUGUGACUUCCUCUUCUGUUUUUUCCACAGCAUAGGACUUUGAAUAGCAGUGAUAGGAAAAACAAUGGAAUGAGGGUGGAUUUGCACAGAUUGGAGCACAAACUAACCAAGUAUCCUGGUGAAAUCUAGUGCUGAAAUGGAGAUGAAGAUACUUACCUUUUCAAAUGAAGGUCACAGGACUUCAGGAUGCUUUGGUGACCAAAAGAAACCCUCGGUAUGUUGCCGUGUUUUACAAUUCCCUCGUCACCCUGGAAAUUUUGUUGAUAAGGACUUGGGGAGCAGAGGUGCUGGUAAAUACAAUGGAGAGGAGGAGAAAUGAUUACCAGGUGUGUGCAUCUGCUAUGGGUGAGGUUAGAGAGUUGUCGUGGAUGGUAGCAGGAUUGGUGAAUUAUUUUCCUGAGAAAGUAGGGGAGUGGUGUGUUCUGGAAGAUCACAUGUAUAUUGCAGAUGAAAACAAAUAUGGGCUGGGCUUCUUGGGAUGGGAUGUUUGCCUACCAUGAAAGGGCUUCUGGGGAUGUCUUACAAGAUAGGGAGGAAAGAAGUUUUGUGGAAUUGUUUGGUGUAUAUCCUACUUAAGAAAUAAUUUUUGAGUAUUACGGCAUUUAUGCACUGACACUAAGAUUAAACUUACUAGAUAAGACCCACUUCUGUCUUUAGGGAUCUCUAAAACAAAUAAGGGGUUUACAAUAUGCUGAUUCAUCAUUUCUCAGCCAUGAUCAUUAUAAUGACAACUUGUUAUUAUUGUAGGUAAUACGUAUUGAGCAGUCAUUGUGUCUUGGGCAUUGUGCUAAAUGUGCACUGUACAUAAUUUCAUUUAAUCUGAACAAUGACUUCAUGGGCUAGGUCUAUUAUUCUCAUUAUAAAUAUUUAAAAAUACUGCUUAUGAAUUAAGUAACUUGACUAAAUCAGCUACCAAAGGGAGAGCUGGGAUUUGAAGCUAGAUCAAAUCAAUGACAUAAAAGUCUAUGCAGUGCUAGCCAGGACACUUAAGAGUACUACAGCAUGAAUCCCUAUGAUGGAUUGAAAGAUAGAUUUAAAAAUAAGGGCCUAACUUAGGCCAUCAGAAGAGAGAAACAAAAUGAAUUCUACAGAAUGUUUCCUGAUGUGUUCUCUGCUCCUGCCAUGUUAAUAAAAUUUUUCUCGCAUAGUUAAUGGCAAUCUGCGGACCCCGCGAGUCCAUGGGAAAGCCAGUCAUGAGGGAAUGGGUGGGUUCUUCUGAGUCUGGCACCGUCAGCUGGUGAAUUUUUCUGCCUCUAUUUGAAUGUCUGUCCCUCCCCUCCUUUUUUUUGGCCCCUUAGACAAUUUGUUGGUCAAUACAACAAUACUUACCAUUUGAAAGCAUUUAGUGACAUGCAGCAUAUCAAAUUUAUAGUGAAAAAUAGAACCUAUGCAAGUUACAAAACUUUUAUCAGCCUGACCAUCACACUGCGUCCCUGGAGGCUGUGGAAGCUGGAUUAUAAUCAAGAGGUUGCUUGAAGUGCAUGGAAUCAGAACAAAGAGAGGUAGAUAAAUCAAAUUUUUAAUGGUAUCAGGCUAAGACAUCCUGUUUCAUCUCAUCUACUCUGGAGGGAUGGGCCUGCCAGUGGGAGUGGAAUACUCGAAGUCUGAAAUACUUCAGACUGAUUCCAAAGGAUGCAACAGAAUUUCAAGCAACUCUUAGAUCAGUUUUGAGAAACAUGAACCAUGUUGAAAAAAUAUUUAUUUUCUCUUUUUCCAUUCUCUCCCACCUUCUUCCCUCUCUCUCACAUUCUGUCUCUUUUUUUUCUCUUUCUCCUCCUUCCUUCUUUAUUCCUUUUUUCUUUCUCUGAUUCCCUCUUUAUGUUACCUGUUUUUACACUACACUAGCUGCAAAUGUGGAUCAACAAACAUCACUGAUUUUAUGAGAUAGCAAUUUUCCCAGAAAUGUAAAAUUAGAAAAUGUGAGAGCUAAAAAAAUAAGAACAAUUAAAUCUAAAGAAACUGUGCUUCACUCAAAGUUAAUAACUAUUGUUAGAAGAGAGACUAGAACUCAGGCCUCCUAAGUCACCCUUAUUUAGUCUGGUAAUGGCCACAUUUGUAUGUUAAAGCAAAUAAUUUCCUCUUGUAUUGAAAUUUUUGUCUUUCUAAAAAAUAUUCAGAUAUGUAUACAGUUAAAUUUUAAACUUGGAAAUCUUUGUAAGACUGUGAUUAAGAUGGACCAACUGAGAUUUUAAUUGUCUAUGUGUUUUAAUGAGGAUAAUUCAUUAGAUAUGUGACUUUAGAACUCUAGUUGCAAAAUAUUACAAAUUAAUGACUUUUACCAA